AGAGUUUGAUCCUGGCUCAGAUUGAACGCUGGCGGCAGGCCUAACACAUGCAAGUCGAGCGGAUGAAGGGAGCUUGCUCCUGGAUUCAGCGGCGGACGGGUGAGUAAUGCCUAGGAAUCUGCCUGGUAGUGGGGGAUAACGUCCGGAAACGGGCGCUAAUACCGCAUACGUCCUGAGGGAGAAAGUGGGGGAUCUUCGGACCUCACGCUAUCAGAUGAGCCUAGGUCGGAUUAGCUAGUUGGUGGGGUAAAGGCCUACCAAGGCGACGAUCCGUAACUGGUCUGAGAGGAUGAUCAGUCACACUGGAACUGAGACACGGUCCAGACUCCUACGGGAGGCAGCAGCGGGGAAUAUUGGACAAUGGGCGAAAGCCUGAUCCAGCCAUGCCGCGUGUGUGAAGAAGGUCUUCGGAUUGUAAAGCACUUUAAGUUGGGAGGAAGGGCAGUAAGUUAAUACCUUGCUGUUUUGACGUUACCAACAGAAUAAGCACCGGCUAACUUCGUGCCAGCAGCCGCGGUAAUACGAAGGGUGCAAGCGUUAAUCGGAAUUACUGGGCGUAAAGCGCGCGUAGGUGGUUCAGCAAGUUGGAUGUGAAAUCCCCGGGCUCAACCUGGGAACUGCAUCCAAAACUACUGAGCUAGAGUACGGUAGAGGGUGGUGGAAUUUCCUGUGUAGCGGUGAAAUGCGUAGAUAUAGGAAGGAACACCAGUGGCGAAGGCGACCACCUGGACUGAUACUGACACUGAGGUGCGAAAGCGUGGGGAGCAAACAGGAUUAGAUACCCUGGUAGUCCACGCCGUAAA
rnacentral:rRNA from 1 species